AAAUCCUACUACUGGCCACCGCAAAACCCGCCCUUCAAUAGCAUUUGCGCGUUACUAUUGGCCAGGUAACGGACCCCGAUUUGUUCAGGUCCCGUCCCAUGACCAAUCCGCUGUCCUAAC